GCCCUUUUCUCCUCAGUCCGUGCUGAAGGCCAAGAUCCGCCCUUGAGGAUGGCUGUCAGGGCUGCCACACGCUGGCAGGCUUGUUUUCCUGCCUCAGACAUCU